CCUCUUGGCUGGCUCCCUGGGAUCCUCAAGCAUGUCAAACUCAAAGGCUAGCAUGGGCCAGAUAAACAAGGCCUAAGUUUAUGUGGGCUGCAAAAAAGCAAAAGCUUUAAUUUUCAUAGAAACAUAGGCUUAUUUUGAUAGAGACAUGCUGAUUACUAAGAGUUAAAAUAAAUGAGUAAUCAUUAACAUAAAAUAAUAGAACAUUGCAAUAAAAAUUAAUAUUUUUUUCUUGAACAUUAACUUAUCAGACACUGAAUAUCUGCACAAAUUAAUACAUGUAAUGCAAAUAAGCUUACUUUUCUUGUUUUCUGAAUGCAAAAUAUUUCCUGUUGCACACAUCAGACAAGUCAGUCCGAGACUAAUGAUGUGGCCAUUGGCUGCUAAAAUAUUUGCUGCUGGUAGU